CCGCGGCCUGGAGCGCGGCGGCCAGCUCCGCGGCCUUGUCGCGGUCGGUGGUCCUGGUCGUGUCGCGGGCCCCGGC
rnacentral:tRNA from 1 species